CCCCCCCCCCCCUCCUCGUUCUUAUCUCCAACAGGCAGGCUGCGCCUCACGCCUCACGCCUAGGCUGGGCUAACCCUCGAACGCGUCGCCCACGCCUCACGCUAGACAAGAUGCAAAUGUCGAACAAGGAUUGCUAUUUUUGCAUGCAGCUUAUGGGGCGAGUUUGCAGCCUAAACAUCACUCAACUAUUAUUAUUGGGGUCUACUUCUAAGAGGCCAGAAUUUAAAGAUGUGUUUGU